UAUCAAUAAGCGGAGGAAAAGAAACCAACAGGGAUUGCCUCAGUAACGGCGAGUGAAGCGGCAACAGCUCAAAUUUGAAAUCUGGCCUCGGCCCGAGUUGUAAUUUGCAGAGGAUGCUUCUGGCAACGUGCCUUCCGAGUCCCCUGGAACGGGGCGCCGGAGAGGGUGAGAGCCCCGUACGGUUGGACGCCGCGCCUGUGUGAAGCUCCUUCGACGAGUCGAGUAGUUUGGGAAUGCUGCUCUAAGCGGGAGGUAAAUUCCUUCUAAAGCUAAAUACCGGCCAGAGACCGAUAGCGCACAAGUAGAGUGAUCGAAAGAUGAAAAGCACUUUGGAAAGAGGGUUAAAAAGUACGUGAAAUUGCUGAAAGGGAAGCGCCUGCGACCAGACUCGCGCCGGGCGAAUCAUCCAGCGUUCUCGCUGGUGCACUUCGCCCGGCCCGGGCCAGCAUCGGUUCUGACGGGGGGACAAAAGCCCGGGAACGUAGCUCCCUCCGGGGAGUGUUAUAGUCCCUCGCCUAAUACCCCCGCCGGGACCGAGGACCGCGCGUUUACGCAAGGAUGCUGGCAUAAUGGUCGUCGGCGACCCGUCUUGAAACACGGACCAAGGAGUCGAACAUUUGUGCGAGUGUUUGGGUGGAAAACCCUCACGCGCAAUGAAAGUGAACUUUGGUGGGAGCCUCGGCGCACCACCGACCGAUCCUGAAGUUUUCGGAUGGAUUUGAGUAGGAGCAUAACUGUUCGGACCCGAAAGAUGGUGAACUAUGCCUGUGUAGGGUGAAGCCAGAGGAAACUCUGGUGGAGGCUCGCAGCGGUUCUGACGUGCAAAUCGAUCGUCAAACAUGGGCAUGGGGGCGAAANACUAAUCNACCNAUCNAGCANAAGGUUCC
rnacentral:rRNA from 1 species